CUUCCCACUAGAUAUCUACCUUACGUUUGGUAGUGUAUAUAUUGUCCAUGCCUCUCUCUCGCUUCGUCACAGCUUACCCUUCCCCCUCCCCAUAUCCUCAAGUCCAUUCUCUAGUAGGUCUGUGUCUUUAUUCCCGUCUUACCCCUAGGUUCUUCAUGACAUUUUUUUUUUCUUAGAUUCCAUAUAUAUGUGUUAGCAUACGGUAUUUGUCUUUCUCUUUCUGACUUACUUCACUCUGUAUGACAGACUCUAGGUCCAUCCACCUCACUGCAAAUAACUCAGUUUCGUUUCUUUUUAUGGCUGAGUAAUAUUCCAUUGUAUAUAUGUGCCACAUCUUUUUUAUUUUUAAGUUUAGAAUUUUAUUUCCUUUGUGUUUUGGGCUUAGGGCUUUUUUUUGCAUUUUUUAAAAUUUAAUUUUUAUUUUAUAUUGGGGUAUAGUUGAUUUACAAUGUUGUGUUAAUUUCAGGUGUACAGCAAAGUGAUUCAGUUAUACAUACACAUUUAUCCAUUCUUUUUCAGAUUCUUUUCUCGUAUAGGUUAUUACAGAAUAUUGAGUAGAGUUCCCUGUGCUAUACAGUAGAUCCUUCCCGGCUAUCUAUUUUAUAUAUAGUAGUGUGUAAAUGUUAAUCCCAAACUUCUAAUUUAUCCCUCCCCCACACACCUUUCCCCUUUGGCAACCAUAAGUUUGUUUCGAAGUCUGUGAGUCUGCUACUGGUUUGUAAAUAAGUUCAUUUAUAUCAUCUUUUUAGAUUCCACGUAUAAAUGAUAUCAUAUCAUAUGAUAUUUCUCUUUCUGUGUCUGACUUAUUUCACUUAAUAUGAUAAUCUCUAGGUCCGUCCAUGUUGCUCUUUCAUAGCUCUAGGAUCAUCAUCCUCUCCCUUAAAUGAGCAGAAUAUCAGUUUCCUUUUAGUUUAACCCUCUGCGUACAUUUUCCUUUCUUUUUUUUUUUAACAUCUUUAUUGGAGUAUAAUUGCUUUACAAUGGCGUGUUAGUUUCUGCUUUAUAACAAAGUGAAGCAGUUAUACAUAUACAUAUGUUCCCAUAUCUCUUCCCUCUUGCGUCUCCCUCCCUCCCACCCUCCCUAUCCCACCCCUCUAGGUGGUUACAAAGCACCAAGCUGAUCUCCCUGUGCUAUGCGGCUGCUUCCCACUAGCUAUCUAUUUUACGUUUGGUAGUGUAUAUAUGUCCAUGCCACCCUCUCACUUUGUCACAGCUUACCCUUCCCCCUCCCCACAUCCUCAAGUCCAUUCCCCAGUAGGUCUGUGUCUUUAUUCCUGUCUUACCCCUAAGUUCUUCAUGACAUUUUUUUUUCUUAGAUUCCAUAUAUAUGUGUUAGCAUACGGUAUUUGUCUUUCUCUUUCUGACUUACUUCACUCUGUAUGACAGACUCUAGGUCCAUCCACCUCACUACAAAUAACUCAAUUUCGUUUAUUUUUAUGGCUGAGUAAUAUUCCAUUGUAUAUAUGUGCCACAUCUUCUUUAUCCAUUCAUCUGUCGGUGGACACUUAGGUUGCUUCCAUCUUCUGGCUAUUGUAAAUAGAGCUGCAAUGAACAUUUUGGUACAUGACUCUUUUUGAAUUAUGGUUUUCUCAGGGUAUAUGCCCAGUAGUGGGAUUGCUGGGUCAUAUGGUAGUUCUAUUUGUAGUUUUUUAAUGAACUUCCAUACUGUUCUCCAGUGGCUAUACUAAUUCACAUUCCCACCAGCAGUGCAAGAGUGUUCCCUUUUCUCCACACCCUCUCCAGCAUUUAUUGUUUGUAGAUUUUUUGAUGAUGGCCAUUCUGACCGGUGUGAUAUGAUAUCUCAUUGUAGUUUUGAUUUGCAUUUCUCUAAUGAUUAAUGAUGUUGAGCAUUCUUUCGUGUGUUUGUUGGCAAUCUGUAUAUCUUCUUUGGAGAAAUGGAAUUAAGUGGUUAGGUGACUGAACAAUGUAUUGUUUUACAGCCUCAAACACUUUUUCUCCAUACCAUUUUUAUGUAUGUCUGGAUUGAAGAUGAUUUCUCUUAUAUGAGUUUGGAACUUUUCAUCCUUAAAUUUUGAGGUGGGAGAAGUUCCAUUCCCGGUAAUGGAGAAGUACCUUGUAUCAGACUAAGUCUUCUUCAGAAAAAGUAAUUAUAAACUCUAAACAAAAUAUGUGAAAACAGUUGUUUGAAGUCACUGAAGAGCUACCAGAAUAGAUGGAAAUGAGAGAGGAUUUGACUCUAAAAAAUAAGGAAAAGAUAUAAAAUGUGGGUGAGAGCCACAGUUAUGUGGCUUUUCUUCUGAGGGUAUUAUUAUCCCCCAGUAUGCACAAGGCAAAGUGACUGAAACUCAAAUAGAAAGCUGUACUCAUUGCCUGAAGAGUUUGGGCUUGACAAAACAACUGGAAAUUGAAAGGGAAAAUCCUGGAAGAGGGGAACAACAGAGCCUGUGCAUAAACACCCCUCACAUACUUGGUUGCCUCUGAAUUGUACUUGGAUGAGUGAGACUUUCAGGACCCAAGGAGGAAAUAACCGCUGGAAGGCUGACAUUGCUGAUCCGAGAUUUCAGCUGCUGCUCAACACAGGGGAGACAGAUUUCAUACCUAGUUAGAGACCUGCCAGCUUGGAGGGUAUGAUAAAGACCAAAAGCUUUUCAUUGAAACCCUAGAAGGACUGCAGUUUAGAAUUAAAGGUUAUAUCCCCAAAGGGCAUUACCCUAGGACUAAGGGCAGUACCAAAAUAGACCUGUCCCAGCAAAGCAUAAAAUAAAGCCUUCAAGGUUAUCCUUCAGUAACUUAACUGCCUGGUGGAACAAAAGCCACUCUUCAGAGAAAGCUAAUGGAAGUACAGAAAAGAAGAUUGAAAAGAAAGUAAAUAGAAGUUCAGUGACUUGUGAGGUAAUAUCAAGAAAUCUAACAUAUGUAUAAUUGGAGUUCCAGAAGAAGAAGGGAGAGGGGGAGGAGGAGGAAAGGGGAGAGUAGGGCAGAAAAAAUAUUUGAAGGAAUAUUAGCUGAAAUUUUGCCAAAGUUGAUGACAAACAGCAACCCACCAGAUCUUGGAAACUCCAUGAAUUCCAAGCAGUAUAAACACAAGGAAGAACACACCUAGGCACAUCAUGGUCAAACUGCUAAAAAAAACAAGACAAAGAGAAAAUCCUUAGAGCAGUCAGAGGGGGAAACACAUAUACACACAUUAUCAGAAUGACAGCCAACUUUUAUCAGAAACAGUGGAGGCCAGGAGUUAAUGUAAUGACAUCUCUGCAGUCCUGAACAAAGAAAACUACAUCCUAGACUCUAUAUCCAGUUUAUAUAAAUAUAUAUAUAUGUAAAAUAAAGGCAUUGUCAGAUUAAAAAAAACAAAAACAGAAAUUUUGUUACUAGAUGACUCACAAUAAAAGAAAUACUAAAAGAAGUAAUUCAGGCCAAAGGAAAUUGAUACCAGAUGCAAAUUUAAUUCUAUAGGAAGGGAGGAAGGGUGGGCAUAGGAAAUGAUAAAUAUGUCACUAAAUCUAAAAAAUUAUCUUUCUGUGUCAGUUUUUUAAAGUAAAUUGAUACUUGAAACCAAAAAUAAUAACAGUGUAUUGUUUGUAGCAUAUACAGAAGUGAAAUAUAUGGCAGCAAAUAUGCCAUAUUUGAAUGUUUGAAAUUUGAAAUUGAAAGUUUCAAUUUGAAACUUUGAAAGUUGAAACUUUCAAAUUGAAAGUUGAAUUUGAAAGUUUCUUGCAUUAUAAUUUAAAGUGAUAUAAUAUUAAUGCCAGAUACACUGUAAUAAAUUCAGGGUGUAUAUUAUAAUCUCUAAAACAAGCACUAAAGAAAGGGAGGGAAGGAUGGAGGAAGAAGAAGGGGAUAAAAGCUAAAAAAAAAGAAAAAAGAAAACGAUUAAAAGAAGACAGAAAGGAGAAACAAACAGAAAUAAAGUCUACUUAAACCCAGUUAUAUCAAUAAAUAUAUUGAAUAUAAAUGAACUAAACACUAAUGACAGAGAUUGUCACAUUGGAUAAAAAUGCAAGACUCAACUAUAGUUGUAGCCCUCCAAAAAAAAAAAAAAGUCUUGUGUAAGAAUGCUUAUAGCAGCUUUAUUCAUAAUUGCCAAAACUGAAAACACCUAAAUGGGACUAGUUGUGUUCCACGACUGCAGAAUUCAUAUUCUUUUCAAAUGUUCAAGUAAUACACGUGAAUCACAGCUAAACUUUAUUUCAUCAUUCAGACUAAUGAGGUGGAUUGGGGCACCCUCAUUUUUAUAAGUCUGGAAAUGAGGCUCAGAGGAAGACGGGUCUUGUUCAAGAUGGCAGUCAUGAUGAAAGAUGGGAUAUCUCUCACCAUGGAGGUAAACAGUGAACAUCUGUUCAACUUUAAAAUCCAGGUACUUUCUACUCAAGAGCUCAAAGUGAGUUAGCUUGGGUCUUAGAUCUAGAAGCCACAUCUCCUGAGUCCCAGUCAAGAGCUAGAAAUCUAUAUCAUCUUCUCAUUACAUUCUAAUAGAAAUUUCUGUAAAAAUCCCGUUUGCUCACUGUUGUCAGUCCAACCAGUGGAAGAUCUGUUUUGUUGGUUAAGUGGGUAAUAAAACCCUUUCCUAAAGGAAAGCCUCACCUUUCUUAUUUUCCCAUAAUUUUAGGUUUAUGCUUACUAAGGAGGAAGCCAGGGCAAGGAGACAGCCAAGGACAUUUUAAUUGAGUCAAGUGGGACAUGCUUUUAAUCAGGUCUUAGUGUCUAGCUUCUGGAAAGUGCAUUGAGAUCUCUUAAUUAUCUAACCAAAUCUGCAUUUCAAUUUGGUACUCUUGAGUGUUUAGAGAGUCACUGAUAAACUAACCAGCUUCCCUGCGGAGAAUAACUGAAGCCUCUGGAGGAAAACAGUCCUAAAUUAGACAGAAGAAGUAUGAGAUCACAAUAAUGUGAGCAAAAGGAGUUAUUGAUCAGAUGGUUCAGAAAUCUAGAUCAUCUUAAAAACUUGUUUGUUCUAUUAUUCCUUUUGAGUAUGUAGUGAACACUUGCUGAUUGCUUCUCCUGAAGCCACUUCCCCCUUUCUCCAUCCUAGCAGUGCCUUAAUUUCUUUAAGACAUCUGUGUGGUUCUGGGGAUGCUGGCUUCAUCCACCCUUAAGGUUUGGCCAGUCAGCAAUUUCCGUCCCCCUGGCCACCAUGAUUAUUUUGGAUUGGGCAUGCAACCUAAGAGGUGCAGUCUAAGUAAACUCUAGUUGCUGUGGUGUGUGGGUGUGAUCUGAUUACAGAAAGUGACUACCAGUCCUGUACUCUGACCCUAGACUUAUACAGGGGUUCGCACUGUUGUAGAUAUGCACUUGGAGUGAAAAGGGAGAAAGAACCAGUGCCUCCCUGUCAGGGCUGCUGUGAAGAUUGCAUGGGAGCUCAUAAAGCACCUUGCAGAAAGUCUGGCAUAAAAUAUAAAUUCAUGCUUUAAGGACUUUUUGAAUUACCAAUGACAGAAACUACCUGAGACAAACAAGCAAAAAGCUAGGAAUGUAUUGGAAAUGUACUAAGGAAGCUCAGAAAGUUGAAGGAAAUGUUCUAGAUACCUGGGUAACUCUGAGGGCUUUAUACACCAGAAUCAGAUUUCAGUGCCCCCAGGGCUCUCCUUGGGUCUCAUCACUGCUUGUCUGUGGUUGAAUUUCUUUUCUCUUGGUGAUAGGAAAGAAGGUCACCUGCAGCCUCCAGUCCUCCUGUCUCUAUGACCCAAAAGGCAAGGUUCCUACUCCUGAAACUCCAAAUUAAAAAAUCUUGGGGAAGGAUACUAACGGCUUGGGUCAUAGUUCCACCUCUGGCUCAAGGGCUGCGGCCAGGGAUUGGAGAACUUGGUUGGUCAGAUCCGGGCCACACAUGCUCCACCUGAGACUUGCCUGGUAGACGGGGAGGGGUAUGAGUGGCAGUGCCACCCAGGAUCAUGUCUGCAUGACAUGAAUAACAAUUUUCCCCAAAUGGUGCCGAAUAGUAAAACAAGUGUCCGUAGUUAUUUGGUAUUGCUUUUCUUCCUAAGCAGAUUUAUUCUCCUUCUCUUUCUAAUCAGGGUGGGGAGCAGGAAAUAGGAAUGUAGGGGGGAAGGUUAAGUGUGAAUCGUAUCGUUCACUUACUAUGUAGUAAGUAACUUUUGCGUGUAUUAGCCUAUUACCUCUCAUUUCAUCUUUACUAUAAUACUGUGAGGUAGAUAAUAUUGCCAUUUCAGCCAGAAACAAGCUCAGGCUAAGAAACUAACCCAGGACCACCAGAUAGCCAAGUGAUGGAGCCAGGAGCCAAAGCAGGGUCCACUUGUCUCCAAAGUGUCUCCAAAGUGUACCACUUGUCUCCAAAGUGUACCAUGAAGUAAGCUACACUUUCCUGGUUGGCAUGCCAUUCCUCCUUCCUCCCCUGGUCACUCCCACCAUCUGUCCCCUAUCAGAAGCCUGGAUUAGAACUUGAAACCUAGGGGGAAGUCCCUGGUGGUCCAGUAGCUAAGACUCCACACUCCCAAUGCAGGGGGCCUGUGUUCAAUCCCUGGUCGGGGAACUAAAAUCCCACAAGCCACAUGGCGUGGCCAAAAAAUAUGUUUAGAACUUGAAACCUAGGUUCUUCCAGACCUAUAAGGACAUUCUUGUCUCAUCCCAUAGUAGACAAAGGAUGUAUUCUCUCUAAAAUAAACAAAAAUGUUUGUGUGUUGACCUAAAACUGGAGAACACAUUUCUGAACACAGUGUCUUACUGAAGUAGCAAAAAAGUUGUAGCAAGAACUGGGUGGCCUGUAUUUGAAUCCCACUAACUACCAACUAGGCAACAUAUUCUGUGCUUCAGUUUAUUCAUCCAUGAACUGAGGGUAGUGAUAGAACCUAGCUCAUAGGGUUUAUUGUGAGGAUUAAAUGAGCUAAUAUAUAAAGCACUUAGAGUACCUGCAAGGACUAUAUCAGUGUUAGCUCUCUUUAUUAAAAUGGGUUAUUCAUUAUUAGUGGACUCUUUUGGUUUAGGGCCAAAACAGGCAGACUUUUCGCUUCAGGAAUCUUCAUUCUUGGGUUCACAUCUGGGUUGUACGCAUUUAGCUCUCAAAGAAACAAACCCAUCUUAGUAUAAUCUGAGGCAGAAAUAACCUACUUACGAUCCAGGGAGCACAGUUCUAAGGGGGAAAUAGUCUCCCUGCCUGUCUGGUCCUGUUCA